AUAGAAACUUAUACCUUCUUAUUUACCGAAAAAGUUCAUAGGAACUGCUAAUUCCUAUAA
rnacentral:tRNA from 1 species